rnacentral:rRNA from 1 species
UAAUACAUGCAAGUCGAGCGCGCCCUUCGGGGUGAGCGGCGGACGGGUSAGUAACGCGUGGGAAUAUGCCCUUCUCUAAGGAAUAGCCUCUGGAAACGGAGAGUAAUACCUUAUACGCCCUUUGGGGGAAAGAUUUAUCGGAGAAGGAUUAGCCCGCGUUAGAUUAGGUAGUUGGUGGGGUAAUGGCCUACCAAGCCUACGAUCUAUAGCUGGUUUGAGAGGAUGAUCAGCCACACUGGGACUGAGACACGGCCCAGACUCCUACGGGAGGCAGCAGUAGGGAAUCUUAGACAAUGGGGGCAACCCUGAUCUAGCCAUGCCGCGUGUGUGAUGAAGGCCCUAGGGUCGUAAAGCACUUUCGCCAGAGAUGAUAAUGACAGUAUCUGGUAAAGAAACCCCGGUUAACUCCGUGCCAGCAGCCGCGGUAAUACGGAGGGG